rnacentral:misc_RNA from 1 species
GAUGAGGAACGUAGUGAAAUGCGAUAAGUAAUGUGAAUUGCAGAAUUCAGUGAAUCAUCGAAUCUUUGAACGCACAUUGCGCCCGUCAGUAUUCUGGCGGGCAUGCCUGUUCGAGCGUCAUUACGCCCCUCAAGUCCCCUGUGGACUUGGUGUUGGGGAUCGGCGAGGCUGGUUUUCCAGCACAGCCGUCCCUUAAAUUAAUUGGCGGUCUCGCCGUGGCCCUCCUCUGCGCAGUAGUAAAACACUCGCAACAGGAGCCCGGCGCGGUCCACUGCCGUAAAACCCCCCAACUUUUUAUAGUUGACCUCGAAUCAGGUAGGACUACCCGCUGAACUUAAGCAUAUCAAUAAGCGGAGGA